rnacentral:rRNA from 1 species
UGCCAGCAGCCGCGGUAAUACGGAGGGGGUUAGCGCUGUUUGGAAUUACUGGGCGUAAAGCGUGCGUAGGCGGAUCGACAAGUUGGGGGUGAAAUCCCGGGGCUUAACCCCGGAACUGCCCUCAAAACUGUCGAUCUAGAGACCGGGAGAGGUAAGCGGAAUUCCUAGUGUAGAGGUGAAAUUCGUAGAUAUUGGAAAGAACACCAGUGGCGAAGGCGGCUUACUGGCUUGAUAUUGACGCUGAGGUGCGAAAGCGUGGGGAGCAAACAGGAUUAGAUA